rnacentral:lncRNA from 1 species
UGAAAGAGUAGUAAACUCAGUGCUCCAGGGUAUGCUAAUCAUAAAACAGAUAGUGACAUUCCUCCACCCACCCACUUCCUGAGUUCAAGGAGUAUUCAUUCAAAGAAAGUCACCCUGACCAUUACCGGAAGCUGCAAUGCAAAUGUGCUAUUGUUAGGGGCUCUUAGAAACUGUCUUGAGAGUUAACAAUUACCAGGUAUUCACACCUGUGACUUUGUACUUCCUUGUGACUCUUACCUGGUAUUUUUGGUAUUUUCCAACAACGCCCUUCCCACCUCCUUGAGUUGUGGUUUUUCUCCUUUAAAUACCCCUUUACUCAGCUACUUGGGGUGCCACGGUCCUCUACCCCUGCGUGGUGUAUGACCGUGGGCCCGAGAGCGCUCUUGAAUAAAAAUCCUCUUGCAAUUUGCAACAAGACCGUUUUCUCGUUGGUGAUUUUGGGGUGUCGCCUCUCCUGAGUCAGAACGUGGGGGAGUCCUCACGUUGUGGGUCUUUCAUUUGGUGCGUUGGCCGGGAAACGCGACCACCCCUCACACCAGAGAACCGACUUGGAGGUAUGGGGAUCCCCUCUUGUGUGUGUGCCGGCCGGUGUAUCUGUUUUCUGAAACGAACAUUGGAACAUGUGCUUGUUAUGUUGGGUUGUUUGUGUCUUGUCCUAUGUUUCUGAAGCACGGCAAAGUCUGAGUUUGGAUCCAUCUGAGUUUAUUGAAUUUGUGUCUUGGUUUCAGGGUUACGAGAUCGUGGGUUCGAGUCCCACCUCGUGCCUUGGUUUUCGGGUUGCGAGAUCAUGGGUUCCAGUCCCACCUCGUGCUUUGGUUUCAGGGUUACGAGAUCGUGGGUUCGAGUCCCACCUUGUGCCUUGGUUUUACAUCUGGCAGAGUGAGGAACAAGUGUGCUUCUCUGGUUUUGGUCAUCUAGGUAAAAGUGGACGACGGUGUUUGUAGACGAUGGGGUGAUGGGGUUUUCUGAAAUGCGCGCGUCUGUAUUUGCAGCUGUCCUUUUGGGCCGUAAGGACCGGAGGACUGUGGUCGGCAGACGUGCUAGGAGGACCACAGGCUGUGGCCCUGGGGGACGCCCUGGGAGGUAAGGAGAGCCAGGGAUGCCUGGCUGUCUCCGGAUCGGUCAGAGGGACCGAGUUCUGUUGAAGCGGAAGCUUCCCCCUCCAACAUCGUCUAAUUCUUUUGCCUGCUUGUGGAGGACAAGAAAGGGUCGAGUGUGUCUGGAUUUGUUGGUUUCUGUUUUAUGUGUUUUUGUGUACGUGUUUAGAGCUAUGUGAAAAUCUAGAGAAACAAAGGUAAUUCUCAUAGGUGCUUUAUACCCUGACUAGAGAAAGUUUACACCUGAGAUGUGAGAAAAUGGGAUAAAAUAAACAGUAUUAAUUGGUCUUUGGAACCCUGCACCUGUAGUUAGGAAUCUAGUGUGGCUAGAGAAGCCCUGCUAGGCGCUGAUUAUAAAUGCUGUUCUUAUAGGGACCAGCAGCUUCUCAAGUUCUAUGGUAAGGGAAGAGAUGGCUGUUUUUCCUACAAAAAUUGGAUUCAUCAGAUGACAAGGUGCUCCUCUCUUGAAAUUACAGC